AUUGAACGCUGGCGGCAGGCCUAACACAUGCAAGUCGAGCGGAUGAAGGGAGCUUGCUCCUGGAUUCAGUGGCGGACGGGUGAGUAAUGCCUAGGAAUCUGCCUGGUAGUGGGGGAUAACGUCCGGAAACGGGCGCUAAUACCGCAUACGUCCUGAGGGAGAAAGUGGGGGAUCUUCGGACCUCACGCUAUCAGAUGAGCCUAGGUCGGAUUAGCUAGUUGGUGGGGUAAAGGCCUACCAAGGCGACGAUCCGUAACUGGUCUGAGAGGAUGAUCAGUCACACUGGAACUGAGACACGGUCCAGACUCCUACGGGAGGCAGCAGUGGGGAAUAUUGGACAAUGGGCGAAAGCCUGAUCCAGCCAUGCCGCGUGUGUGAAGAAGGUCUUCGGAUUGUAAAGCACUUUAAGUUGGGAGGAAGGGCGGUAAGUUAAUACCCUGCUGUUUUGACGUUACCAACAGAAUAAGCACCGGCUAACUUCGUG
rnacentral:rRNA from 1 species